rnacentral:rRNA from 1 species
CGCGAAUGGCUCAUUAUAACAGCUAUAAUUUACUUGAUCUUGACACAAUCCUACUUGGAUAACUGUGGUAAUUCUAGAGCUAAUACAUGCAUUAAAGCUCUGACCUCUCGGGAAGAGUGCAUUUAUUAGAACAAAACCAAGCGGCUUCGGCUGUUUCUGGUUGACUCAUAGUAACUGAGCUGAUCGCAUGGUCUUGCACCGGCGACGUGUCUUUCAAGUAUCUGCCGUAUCAACUUUCGAUGGUAGUGUAUCUGACUACCAUGGUGAUCACGCGUAACGGGGAAUAAGGGUUCGGCUCCGGAGAGUUCGCCUGAGAAAUCGCGAACACAUCUAAGGAAGGCAGCAGGCGCGAAAAUUACCCACUCUCAGCACGAGGAGGUAGUGACGAAAAAUAACGAGACCGUUCUCUUAUGAGGCCGGUCAUCGGAAUGGGUACAAUUUAAACCCUUUAACGAGUAUCUAUGAGAGGGCAAGUCUGGUGCCAGCAGCCGCGGUAAUUCCAGCU